UCACGGGAGUGUCGCAGAACGCCUGGCUGUGGCACCCUGGUGCGCGGGGUCCCUCGGGUACAAUUGGGUUAGGACCGAGGGGGUAGGAAUAGCAAAGGGACAAGGCAUGGGACGCUCGUGCCGAGGCUUCGUUUCCUACAUGUUCCGCGUUUUGUUCUGAUCUCCGGAACUGCGGCUCUUCAGGUCCAGCUCUCCAGUCUCCUGAACUGCUCCUUCAGGAACCAAUAUUAUUAUUAUAUUUCCCCCA
rnacentral:lncRNA from 1 species